rnacentral:rRNA from 1 species
AGCAACCGCGGUAAUUCCAGCUCCAAUAGCGUAUAUUAAAGUUGUUGCAGUUAAAAAGCUCGUAGUUGAAUUUCGGGGUUAGUAGAUUGGUCGUGCCACUGGUAUGUACUGGUCUUACUGAUUCCUCCUUCCUGAUGAACCGUAAUGCCAUUAAUUUGGUGUUGCGGGGAGACUGGACUGUUACUUUGAAAAAUUGAGUGUUUAAAGCAGGCUAACGCUUGAAUACAUUAGCAUGGAAUAAUGAAAUAGGACGUUCGAUCCUAUUUUGUUGGUUUCUAGGAUUGACGUAAUGAUUAAUAGGGAUAGUUGGGGCAUUAGUAUUCAAUUGUCAGAGGUGAAAUUCUUGGAUUUAUUGAAGACUAACUACUGCGAAAGCAUUUGCCAAGGAUGUUUCAUUAAUCAAGAACGAAAGUUAGGGGAUCGAAGACGAUCAGAUACCGUCGUAGUCUUAACCAUAAACUAUGCCGACUAGGGAUCGGAUGAUGUUAAUUUAUAA